UGCAAAUGUUUGGUUCUGACCAACAGUUUGAGUGCAGGUCUGAGUUAUCAUCUGAAUGUUUGUCCAGGGAGUUGUACUGUACAGGACUUACAUCAUGAGAACACACCAUGUGCUGCUACUUAGGAAAGUUUGGGACGUCCGUUUGACCUAUGUCCAAUGUUUAACCUGAACCCUGAACGGCCUAAAAGCUGCACGACACCGUGACUGCAGCAUUAUUUUCAAGUGAGAUGUGUUUAAGGUGUCUGGCAGACACUCACAGAGCGAGUGAUCGGUGGCCAGGGCGUGCAGGCGCCGGCAGACCUGCACCACGCCGCACAAAUCCCUCAGAGGCACCAGAGACAAGAUGGACAGCCACACCUCAUCAGGCAAAGUUUCCUCAUCUUCAUUAAGGGAAAGGGAGAAAGGAUGGUGGAUAUCAUGUGGAGAGGGAGGUUUGUGUCCACGCAGAGGAUGUCAAACUGUUCACGCCGCACACUUCAUGGCAGACCUCUGAUCUGCCACGGAGGAAACCAUUAGCCCAUUCCAACACCAGCCUCAGCUUCUGUUGCUCACUGAAGACAGAGUCACUGAGGAGAGGGAAGCUCGGCUCCUGCUGGAAGUUUCGCCUAUAGUUCCCAGAAUCCUCGAGGAGUUCAGACACAGGGCGCAGCUCCAUCUGAAAAGCUGUCUGUGCCACAUGCUCCACAGAUUUAUCCAUCGUCGUAUGUUGGUGUUACAAGUGUACACCGACGUCCGCACCUCAUUUGGCCUUCAUGUAUUUUCUUAAUGCAAAAAUGGUUAAGAGGUUAGACAGCACUAUAAAAGCAAUGUCCUAUAAACAAGAAGCACACAAAUCCUCUCUAUGAAUCACGCAGAGUUACAUCAGAUAUACUCUGAUCUAGUGUAGGAUAAUAAAUAGAUACUCUUACCCAGCAGCUUUACUGACUCCCAUUUAUUCCACUCCCAGUGGUUUAAUUAAAUAAAUAUUCAAAACUGUACACAUAUCUAAUCCGGCUGCAGACCGCAGUCCUGACAGUAAAGCUUUGAACACUCCCUGUAUCCUAGAAAUCUUGGGUUGCUCACCCAAACGUCACCAUAGAGAUGCCAAACACAAGCUGCAUCGACUAGUUUCCACCACACGAGGGAGACAAAGCUCAGAAGGAAAUAGUCUGAACAUUCAUUCAACAUGUGACGCUCACACAAAAACAAUCCACACCAUAGAGACCAUAUUUCUGUAUGGAUAUAUAUAUUAUAUAUAUUCAUUGGGGAGCUUUAUUGUGGCAGUAUUAACAUAUAAAACAAUCCAUCUUUUCUUUUGUAACAUACAAACAUUUAAAAGUUUCACUUCACAAAGUUCAUAAGGCUUGGUUGUCCCAGUAGAGAGGGGGGUCGUUAUUAGGACUAUUAGGAUUUUUUUUUUCCUUUUUUCUGAUUCUUUUUAAAUUAAAUCUCCCAGAGUUUCUUUUUAAAAGAGACUAAAUAACAAAAAGAAACAAACAAACAAAAAAAAACAACAACAAAACAAUCAGUUUGA